GUGCUCGCUUCGGCAGCACAAAUACUAAAAUUGGAACGAUACAGAGAAGAUUAGCAUGGCCCCUGCGCAAGGAUGAUGUGCAAAUUCGUGAAGAGUGCCAUAUUUUU
ensembl:snRNA U6 U6 spliceosomal RNA